rnacentral:rRNA from 1 species
UACGGGGGGAGCAAGCGUUGUUCGGAUUUACUGGGCGUAAAGGGCGCGUAGGCGGCCACCGCAAGUCGGUUGUGAAAUCUCCGGGCUUAACCCGGAAAGGUCAAUCGAUACUGCGGGGCUAGAGUGCAGAAGGGGCAACUGGAAUUCUCGGUGUAGCGGUGAAAUGCGUAGAUAUCGAGAGGAACACCUGCGGCGAAGGCGGGUUGCUGGGCUGACACUGACGCUGAGUGCGCGAAAGCCAGGGGAGCAAACGGG